rnacentral:rRNA from 1 species
AAGUCCCUGAGUUUUUUUUUAAGGUUUGGCCUGCUCAAAGUUUAUAAUAAAUAGCCGCCGUAUUUUAACUGUGGUAAGGUAGCAUAGUAAUUAGUUUUUUAAUUGAGGUUUGGUAUGAAAGGUUGGGCGAGAAAUUAUCUUUUUUUAUUUAAAUUAUUUGAAAUUUCCUUUUAAGUUAAAAAUUUUAAAAUUUUAAGAGGGACGAUAAGGCCCCAUAGAUCUUUAAAAUUUUAAAAUUUAUCAUUUUUUUGUUGUUUUUUUUUUUAAUUUUUAUUUUUUUUUAGUUGGGGGGACUAGUAAAAUUUUAAACUUUAUUUUUUUUUUACAGUUUUUUCUGUUUUUUUUGAUCCUUUUUUUUUGAUUAUAAGAUUUAGAUACCUUAGGGAUAACAGCGUAAUUUAUUUGGAGAGUUCUUAUCGAUAAAUGAGUUUGCGACCUCGAUGUUGGAUUAAAUUUUGUUUGUGGGGUAGGUUUACAAAACUAGGUCUUCGA